AGUGAACGCUGGCGGCGUGCCUAAUACAUGCAAGUCGAACGGAGUGGCGCACGGGUGUGUAAUGUAUAGCUAAUCUGCCCUACACUAGAGGACAACAGUUGGCAACGGCUGCUAAUACUCUAUAGUGUAGGGUGAGGCGAUAUUGUAUCAGCUAGGUGGUGAGGUAAUGGCUCACCAAGGCUAUGACGCAUAACUGGUCUGAGAGGAUGAGCAGUCACCCUGGAAGGGAGGCACGGUCCAGACACCUACGGGAAGCAGCAGUAGCGAAUAUUGCUCAAUGGGGGAAUGCCUGAAGGAGCUACGCCGCGUGGAGGAUGACACGUUGCGGAGCGUAAACUCCUUUUGUUAGGGAAGCGGUACCUACCGAAUAAGCACCGGCUAACUCCGUGCCAGCAGCCGCGGUAAUUC
rnacentral:rRNA from 1 species